rnacentral:ncRNA from 1 species
CUGGUGGGGGUUUGCGAUCCCCUCAUGAGGCGACAUGCCCAAGAAUCGCGCCCCGUUUUCACAAGGGCGCACGCAUG